rnacentral:rRNA from 1 species
UACGUAGGUGGCAAGCGUUGUCCGGAUUUACUGGGCGUAAAGAGCGCGCAGGCGGUCGGUCAAGUCGAGUGUGAAAGCCCCCGGCUCAACUGGGGAGGGUCACUCGAUACUGAUCGACUCGAAGGCAGAAGAGGGAAGCGGAAUUCCCGGUGUAGUGGUGAAAUGCGUAGAUAUCGGGAGGAACACCAGUGGCGAAGGCGGCUUUCUGGUCUGCUCUUGACGCUGAGGCGCGAAAGCUAGGGUAGCAAACGGG